GAGGCUGUCUACGAUAGAACCAUGCAAAACCAAAAAAUUAUUAUGGAAGGUGUUGUCAAAUUUUCAGACCUUUUUAUGAUAUUUCAAAAGUAUUUUACUAGUUAUAUCAUAUUUUGUGGCAAAAUCGAUGAGUACCUCCCGAACUAACACCUAAUGGGCCGUUCUAUUUUUAGCACAAUAUACACAUCAAUUUCAUGCAAAAAUGGUGUAUUUUCAGCUAGUCAUUAAAAUAUCAAAAGCAGAAUAAUCACAUAUAAUUUCAGUUCCGCAUAGUCUAUUCGAACGGUAUCUUUGAAUUGGUGAACACAACUUUAAAAUUCAUUCUCCAGAUUUAAGUCGUAUAGUGUUUGAACUAGUAAGUUUAUGUAACUUUCAAAUUAAAUGCUAUUUUUAGUGAGUCAUAAAACCCCAAGAAACGCUUAGAAUAGAUAGUUUCCUGGUUUAAAACACAGAUUUAUGCAGAAAUUAUCACUACUAAACGGGAAUUUGGUUGCAAAUAAAUAGAAAGUCAUUUAUUUGGGGUAUAAAAUUCGGAAAUUUUAUCAAAAAAUUAUCUCCCUUUGUGGAACUCUCAUGGGAAGAAGGUAGGGAAGAAUGAUUCAUAAGGCAGAUGACAACAACAUGGAAUGGGUGGAAAGUGAUGGGAAAUAAAUUUAUAGCCUUGGUGAAAAUUACAAGGAAAGAGGGAGUCUAUUUACAUCAGGGUUGCAAGAAGUAUACUUCAGCACACCUGAGAUUUUUAAAUGUCCAUCAGAAAUUGUGUGAAUUCCAGAAUCAUUGUUCACUGCACUGCACAGCUGAUGUGCAUUAACUAUGAUCUAGAUUUAACAGACAUCAUCAUGCCUAUGCCAAUCAUGGACAUUGACUUUGAAUAAAGAACAACAUGUUGUCACCCAUUACAUGACAAAUCUAACUCAUAUGUGAAAGGGGGGGGGGGGGGGGGGGUGACUCCAAAGCCGAUAGAUCUGCCACAUUGCUCAAGCUGCCAUUGAUUCUGGUAAGUUAUUUUUUUUUCAUCUUCCUGCACUAACAGAUAUUGAAUUAUGCAUAAAUACUCAUGGAUGAAUUUUUUUUAAUUUUUACUUCUAUUUGAAAUUUUCAAGAUAUCAAUUUCCUCAAUGCACAAUUUUCUAGAUUAAAAUACUGUUACAACAUAUUUAGGGAAUAUAAUGAAAUUUUAAUAUAUGUGUUUUGUGUUUGCAGACAAGACAAUAGAUUGAGAAAUACAAAAGUUGUGUCCAGAUUAAGACAGAUGUAAAGAAAGAGUUGAAAGAUGUUUUCUGAAGUGAGACAGCCAUACUCCUGCUUUCCAAGGAACCAAACAAUUACUUUCCUUGUAUUGACAUGGUGAAAAAUGGGGAGGGUCCAGAAAAUGACGAAGACCUCCAGAAUGUCAUCAGUGAUAUUGUUGCAAUUGAAUGUAGCCAAUUAUUAUCCAAUAUAAAUUAUCUAUGACUGAACUCAUAAGUGGUUAAGGAAAACUGUUUUAAUUUUUAUUCCUGCAAAAAAGAAUUGCAAUGAUUAAAUCUGUAUGUUUAUAA